AACGAACGCUGGCGGCAUGCUUAAUACAUGCAAGUCGAACGAGAAAGCAUCUUCGGAUGUGAGUAGAGUGGCGCACGGGUGCGUAACACGUAGGUGACCUACCUUUUAGUCGGGGACAACAUCGGGAAACUGAUGCUAAUACCGGAUGUGGUAAUUAAUUUUGAAAGUAGCAGUAGAAAGAGUGCCUCUCCUUGGAAGCACUUUCCAUUAGAUGAGCCUGCGUAACAUUAGCUAGAUGGUGGGGUAAUGGCCUACCAUGGCUACGAUGUUUAACUGGUCUGAGAGGAUGAUCAGUCACACUGGAACUGAGACACGGUCCAG
rnacentral:rRNA from 1 species